CAAGCCUAAAAUAAAUAAAUUUAUUUUCUCGGACGAGCCAAACAGAGACUUUCAGUUUGACUUCGCCGGCGAACACAAUGGAGAGAGAUCAAAACGAGAAUUCAACUUCGCCGCAGGCGACGGUGAUCGAAGAAUGGAACGGAACUUCGUCAACUAAACUCACCAAAACAGCCACCAUAACUGCCACGUCAUCAUCUUCCAUCUCAAUCAAAAGAUCAAGUAACGCAUUCACUCAUAUCUCUCAACGAAUUCUCCAGGCUUUUGUUCCCGAGGGGUUUCCAAGUAGUGUUACUCCAGACUAUGUUCCUUUUCAAGUGUGGGACUCAUUGCAGGGACUUUCUACCUAUGUGCGGAUGAUGCUCUCUACACAAGCUCUUCUAAGUGCUAUAGGUGUCGGUGAGAAAUCCGCUACUGUUAUUGGGGCAACGUUUCAGUGGUUCUUGCGAGAUUUAACUGGUAUGGUUGGAGGCGUCUUGUUCACAUGUUACCAGGGUUCUAAUUUAGACAGUAAUGCCAAAAUGUGGCGUUUAGUGGCAGAUCUCAUGAAUGAUCUUGGAAUGUUGAUGGAUCUUGUGUCUCCUUUGUUUCCGUCGGCCUUUGUGUUCAUUGUCUGCUUGGGGAGUUUAUCAAGGUCAUUCACUGGUGUUGCUAGUGGAGCCACUAGAGCAGCUUUGACACAGCACUUUGCCCUUCAAAACAAUGCAGCAGAUAUAGCUGCAAAGGAAGGAAGCCAAGAAACUCUUGCUACAAUGUUUGGGAUGGCUUUAGGAAUGCUUCUUGCACACAUCACAAGUGGCCACUCAUUUGCCAUUUGGAUAUCCUUUUUGUCUCUUACUAUAUUCCAUAUGUAUGCGAACUAUAUGGCUGUCUGUAGUCUUUCACUGAAUACCCUGAACUGUGAAAGAUGCUCAAUUGUUUUAUCACAAUUCUUCAAGACAGGCCAAGUUCUCUCUCCAAAGCAGGUCUCCUCCAUGGAGCAUGUUCUACCUUCACGGCUGACCUCGUGGACCUCAAAAAGCGGUGAUUCUCUAUACAAGCGAGUACAUUUAGGUGUCAGAGUUUCUUCACUUGACAGCCUUGCUAUGGUCAACCUGUUACAAUCUGCUGGGUCAAAUCACAAGAAAGCAAUGUAUUUACUUCAACAAGAAAGGGAUAUUAUCAACAUUAUUACUCAUAAGGAUUCAACGGCAGCUGAUAUAUUGCAAUCUUUCAUCCAUGCUCUUGUCAUGGCAAAACUAGGUGAUCAAGGUGGAUCCAUGUCUUUGGAGAGCCAAUCAUGGAUGGAUAAACACUAUGAAGUCUUUCUUCUGAAGCUUCAGUCAUCGGGAUGGAAGACUGAGCGGCUGCUAUCAUCAUCAGUUGUUUGGAAAGCAAAUUGGCUAGCAGAGUACUCAGAUGGCAAACUUGACUAGAAUGUUUUACCAACUUAAAGUAAAAUAGUUUUGAUGAGAUGAAAAUUCUGGAACUACAAAGUAAUUUUAAGAAAGAUGUGCUUUCAAGUUCCAAUCUGUGGUGAUUUCAAGUCAUCAUUUGGUAUAUCUUGGAUCUUCAAUGACAGUGAGAAGGUAAACCUAAAAAAGAGAGGAGACUUUAUGGCAAGAGGAGUUAUUUAGUUACAUGUGAAGUAUCAGAACCAGUCAGUUUAGCCUGGCUUACAUACCGUGAAUUCAAAGGAUAGCAAUUGAUGCAUAGUUUCCGAGAUCUUGGAGAAACUCUUGUUUACUGGAAUUUUAAAAGGUGCUGGCUAUUCUUGAGAUCAAAGUUGUAUUGUAAUUUAUGGCAUUAUUUCAUAAGCCUGAGUGGAGAUUCCAUUGAGGUCAAUGCCAUUUUCUUCCUACAGCGGCAAAAUCACCUCCAAAUAGGGUUUUCACUGCAAAAUUUGAAAAUUGAAAACCAAAGUAGGGCGUUCACUGUAUAGCGACUCCUGGCAGGAGUGAGAGCCAACUCUUCUCCAAAUUAGGCUUUAAAUUUUGGAGCCAAUCCUCCGGCAGAAGGGCGACCUGACUCCUCCAGAGAGCACUAUUUAUGACAAAACAAGAGAACUGAGUUGCUUGAACUGUUGGUAUUAAAAUCCCAUUGGAGAUGAUGCUAAAGUUACUGAAUCACAGGCUGAGAUUAAAGUCCUGUUAACAUAAGUUUGAGUACUUCUUUGAAGGGAUAUUGGCAUCCAAGCUGUACUACCCAAUCACAGACGAUGUGCUAGACGGUUGGAAUUCCUCUUAACCUAAACCAAAUGUGUCUGUUUCAAGUUUUUCUAGUGAAGAACUUUUCUGCAGAGAGUGUUUUACCCUUAUUAGUGGGCCUAUCCGGCGUGAAUCUGGAUGAGUUAGGCAUGUUGGCUUCGAUAUCGGAUUGUUAAACCAGAAAAAUAUGUUAUACUCUCCAACUUUUAUAUUUUUCUAUGAGAUGUGUAACGCUCUCUUUGUACAAAAAGUUCAUCUACUAUAAGAAAGCAAGAAGGUCACGGGUUCAA